CGUCACUCACAGCCCGGCCACAAUGAAGCGGUUGCCACCGUCGCUGUAUGUGAGCUGUUACCAUCGAAGCUACGGCUGCAGGACUGCUGCUGGCGGUAGCGGCGAUAUGCUGCGGUGUCGCAUAAGCUCGGUGCCGUCUGCUCGAACUUCCGGCGUAGUUUGUGGUAUGGGCAGCAACCCACCACCGGGUGCGUCAAGGGCAAGGCUGAUCUCGUUCUCCCCCUCUCCCUUGAUCACGCAGUGGCAGCAACGACGCCACAUGCACGAUGCGGCUCCUGCAUCAGCACUGCGAUCACACAAUGCCGCCACCGUGGCGGCGAUUACGGAUAACCAGCUCAGUGCUAGUCUUCUAGCCGCGCCACCUGGGCCAUCAAAUGUGUGCCCCCCAUCCUCCUCCACCGUCAACACGUCGGGCUCGACUGAUCACACGCCGGAAAGUUUGCUUCUGACACAGCUGCAGAUGCUCGCUAAGCAGGACCGAGGAACCCCAAAAAGCGACAGCAGCAAGGGGGUUGUCGAUAGCCGUGCCACAGGGACAGAUGUGCCGGUGUUGGCAAAGUCGGCCGGUGCCUUGGCGGCUCUCGUAAGCGACGCUGACAUGUGCGGCAGCGGCAGUCCGGGCGACAGCAUCUUAGCCCCCUCGCAUAACGAUGUACCAGCCUGGCGGCGAGGGCUUGAGCUCGUGCAGACCGCCUCGUGCGUUACUGCAGCGGUCACGGAGUGGCUUCUGUUUCUGUGUCUGCGUAGUAGCCGAUCCGCGACCGAUGCUGCUGAAUCGCUAACCGCGGCACCGUUGGAGGUGUGCGAAGGCGUCUACAGCGCAUGGAGGGAGCUGCAUCGAGGGCAGAAGCCGGAAAGCGACGUAGCAGCAGCAGCAGAUGUAGCUAACACCGUUGCAGUGUCAACAUCAGCGCAUCAGCUACAACCCUCUUCGCCGCUGAUGUCAGGCUCGCCUUCCUCGGCUCGAGCUCAUCUGCCGCGCCACCGCUCCCCUUUCAGCCCUAAAGGGAUCCAUCAUCACUACGCCACGUAUCUCCUGCGUGAGCUUCACCACGCACAGACGGCCGCCGUGUCGCACACGGCAACGCGCAAGGGAAGCAGCGGCACCCAUGGCAACGACGAUGAUUGUAAAGCGCUGAUGUCCACCAAGGACUCGGAUGCAGCAUACGCGGCGCCGACGCAUCGCAUGCGCUACCUGCUUCACAGGGUGCUGGAGGUUCUCCUGGUACAUCUCCCACAAGACCAGGCGGCUGCGGCGGCGGGUUCGGCCGCGAAGACAACGGAAUCAACGGGCGGCGUGAAAGGCAGACGCUCGCGGCAGCGCAAGCCUUCUCUGCGCCCUACAACGGCCUUGCUGGUGCUGGAAGCCGCGCGCCACGCAGCGCGAUUCCACAAGCAAUCAUCAACGCUGAGCGGCGUCGGUCCGUCUGGCAACUUUUCACUGCUCUCUUUCCUGUGGGAGACGGCGCAUGGCACAGGCUCGCCGCAAGACGCGCCGGCGGUGUCACCUUCGCCGACACACUCCGCUCUCGCGGCCGUGGCGCGCGAGGCCUUCGAGACUAUUAUGAGAGGCUCAGCGACGGCGCCAACUGGCACGGCUGCGGCUGCUUCGCAGCAGCACCAUCAACUGCAGAAUGACGCGCUGGUUCUUUACGUGGCCUUCCUCGCGACCAUCUGCAUGCCUCCUAUGUCAGAGCGUUGCCUUGAAGUCGAGCUGCAGGCCAUUGAUAGUUUUGUGCUAGCUGGCUCGCCUACAGCACGCCAACUCGGUGUGCCGUCACCGCACCAGCAGCAGCAGGCGGUGAGCAGCGGACCACCGCGAUCCCUCGUCAGCGCGGAUCGCACGUCCCGUGAUCAAAGCGGGCCCGCAUCCAGUGCGUCAGCUCUGGCAGCAGCUGCCGGUGUGCGGUGGCUGAUGGCCACGUAUCUAAGCCCGUCAUCGUCGUCGGCGUCGGCGUCGGCGCCAGUCUCAGGGCCAAGAGCGGAAGCCGGCCGCCGGCAGUGGGACUUUACGCGCGACGCCGUCGUGGCUGUGCUGUGCCGGUCAAGCCCAUUGCUCAUGUCGGGCAGUCGCGAGCCCUCUUCAGUCGCUCACGUCCACAAUCAAGAUGUGUGUGUCGUGCCGUCGAGUGCUCCACCGGCGCCACUGCCGUGGUGUGCGUGGAUGCUGCGCGCGCUUCUCCACGAUGAUGCUCAUCAGCAACAGAAGCAGGGGUUUGGAACAGCGUCUUUGGGCGGUGCACUAGGAAGCGAUACCGACGAGAUGUCGACGCUGGCAUUGUCGAUUCGGUUGGUCAUGGAACUCCGGCGCCACUCCCAAGCUGCCCUCGCCUGUCGCGGGAGUCCGCUGCGGGAGGAACAUCGGCGGCAUCGCCUCGAUGCGUUGUUGCGCCGGCCGCUGCAGCUGGUUUGGGCAACGUUGCUCGAUGCUGCAGUGCGAGGCCAGCUUAUCCCCGCCAACGUUUGCAGCGCCGCUGUCGACAACGGCGUCGCGACACAGCACAGCGCACGGGCAGGUUUUUGUCCUCAUUGUAGUACGCCGGCCGUGUUGCAGAGGCUGUGCUACCCGCACUACGAUAAGACGCAGUGGCGCCGCGGGACGGUCAACCUCUACAUGCAGCUUCUCGACCAGUGGGGCGAGUCAACGCAAGUGCGGCAGGUAUUUGCGGCAGUCGCGCGGCGCGAGCGCGAGUGGCAGCAGGAGGUGCGCAAGGCUGUGCUGGCGGAGCGCCGGGGGCUCGUCAGUGCUGGUGAUGAGGUCGAUGGCGGGGACGAGGAUGACUCCACAAGCAUGGGCGACAGCGAGGCGGAGGGGAACAGCACGGCGGAGGGCCAGGCGGCAGCGUCCACAGUCAGGGCAGACUCGCAGAAGCCUAUGGUGCCUAGGGUCUUCCGUCGCUAUCGCCCCGCUCUCAACCUCGAGUCGUGCCUCAUCACACUGCGUCACUGUGGCUUUCCCAGACCAGUUUUUACGGAGCUGUGGGACGGGCCUGCGAGUGCCAAGGAUGGCAGCGAGGGCAGCGAUGGUACUCCUGCCGCCGCGGCACAAGCCAAACUCGCAGGUGAGGUGCUGCAGUACAUGAUCUGCUCGCUGCACGUGGCGGAGCGCAGGCCGCACCGCGCGGCGCCCAGUGGCGGUGGUGCAGAUGCGAACCAUGAUCAGGAGAGCCGGGGUGGUGGCACGAAAACGCCGCACGCGCUGUCGGCUGAUGGUGGCCCUGGAGCAAACCUGGCGGAUAGCGCUAUGGAGGCAGAUGGCCUGCCGGUGUCGCACUGGGUGGCGUGGAUACGCAAGUCCUGUGUACCGGCGUUAGAGCAUCUCUACCAAUCGGCCGGGCUGGAGGAUGAGUGGGCGCAGCUGGGCUACCGUCACGAGUAACACAGAAAUCAGAAAGAGCUGUCAGAAACGACGGAGAGAGGAGGGCGUGUACCGAAGGGGCACAUCUCCAUCCUGCCGGGCACACCGACGUGGAGGGUGCGGAGCGGGAUCAUAGAGGAGUGAGGUCUGUAUGCGACUUUUUUUUGCUCUUCUUGCAUCUCGCAAAAAGGCGCCUUGUGUGGUUGCCUACUCACCGUUGUGGUCCCUCGGCACACUCGCUCGAUCUCGCUCUCCGUGGCUACUCUGUGUUCGCUUUUUGUUGUGUCUCCGCCGGCGCUUGGCGCAAGGCAACCCUCUGUCGCUCGUUUUCUCCAUGAGCCAUCGCCAGCGCUGGCAACGUCACGCAUACACACACAAACACACACGCGCACAUGUCUACCAGUGACUCAGUGCCCACUGGUGGUCUGUGAGAGAGAAAAAGGGCAGCGCAGUGCCAACAACCACCUUUGCGGACGCACGCGCAUGCGUGCACGGGCGAGUGUGCUGUGCCCGAUGUCGUGCAGGUUUGUGUCCGCUGAUUCGAUGUGCGCGGAGGGCGCGCGGUCACGCUGUUGUGCGCCUGGUGCUGAUGUGAUGGGUCAAGGUGGCCACUUUGUGUCGCUCGACGCACAGAGAGAGAGAGAGCGAGAGCGAGCGAAGGCGUGUGAAGGGGCGGAGAAAGAGAAGGCUGCUGCAUAUGCGAGUGGGUGCGUGUGUAUAUGGGUGCGUCUGCGUGCCUCUUUCCCUGGCAUGCUGUUCUUGGCUGCCCGUAUCCGUCUAUGUCGCUCUGUCAUGGUGUAUGCUUGCUUGCUUUGGCGGUUGCGCUGAAUGGGACGUCGCACACGGAAAAGAAUGCCGUAAGUAUAUCCUCCGAAAGAAGAAAAAGAGGCGUAGGUGGAAUGUGCCCACACCUCCCGAGAUGCAG
rnacentral:misc_RNA from 1 species